rnacentral:lncRNA from 1 species
GUCGAACUAAUUUUCUAGUAAGUAUGGAUCAACCCUAAUCAUUAAGCGAUCUGAUCAAAACUUGAUUCACCAUGUUAGCCAGGUAAGUGAGAUCAGUGGGAGGGAUAUACCAUUAACUCAUCAUAGACUUAAUGUAUGUGAGUAGCACCUAAUUAAUGACCACCGAUCAAGACUACCAAACUUAUCUUAGACACCAACUAGUUAAUCGAUUUCACUUGGAUCUACUUAUGGAUUUGGGUUCGCCCGUUGAGCUCAAGAUCAAAAUCUAUUUGGGUCUAAUCAAAGACAUGGACUCGACCAACUACAACUAUUGUAUUGGCUCUAGAAAAAUUUUGAUUUGAUCUAAUUUCUUUUCUUAGUCCAUUUGAUCUUUGAUUCUAACCCUAGGCCUAACUCAAUUAGGAGGACCUGAUCAAGCUAACCCAUAAACCCAUCACCCAUGUUUUAUGCGAAUGACAUUAGAUCUUUAAUUCAUAAUUUUAGAUCUAAUAGGUUCAACUUAAUUCUCGAUUAAGUUUGAGGCUGUGGGUAGAAAUUCGAUAUUUGAAAAUAAUUUCAAAUUUUAUAAAAUAUUUUUAUAAUUAAUUUUAUGCAUAAUUAUUUAGAUCUGAAAUUUAAAUUGGCUUACCUCUGGAUUGAGCCUACUCAUCACAAUGGGUCGACUAAGUUCCAAGACUUAGUUGUCUCAUUGAUAAUAAAUUAUUAAUCAUAAUUUUUAGCCUGUAACAAUGAGUUAGCUCAACAAAAAUUGAGCUG